UAUUUUUCCUUAUUUUUUCCUUCCAAUCCCUCUCCUCUCCGAAGCCAGGCUAAACUUUUCAACAUUGCUCAUCCACCGGAAGAAGAAACACAGAGGAAAAUCAUCUGUAAGACCCUUGCUAAAGACCUUCCUUGGAAAAUGAAUCUGAGAUACUUCAAGGACCGGUUGCUUUACUCGAUCAUACCUCUCGGGGGAGACUCAGCUAAUGUUGAGCAUUUUUGUCAGGAGUCGAAAACUUUUUUAGUCCAAGUCCAACAUUAGACUAGAGAAAUUUAAGGCUCUAAAUAGAAUGUGCAGUGACCUAUGAGCAGCAAGGAGCGACAGUUUACUGUACAUGGAUUGUGAUAUGUGUUUCAGUGAACUCAGCUAAUGUUGCAGUUGUUGUUGCAUUCUUUGUUCUACUAUUAUUGGUUGGAUCCAUGGGGCUAUAGAUUUAUUACAUGUGACACUAAACAAGAGGAAAAAUAAUUUUGUUGGCAUACUUAUCAUCUGAAUUGUGCCCUUUGGGGAGAUGAAGCAACUGAAGGAAUUUAAAGUCGAGUCCAUUUUUUCAGCAAUCAAAAAUGGAUGCUACCGAGUCAUUUCUUCGUCCCAGUUGGUUUCGUGGUCUCUAGGAUCAAGUGAUAAUAGACAUGGAGGCCCGUUAAUGAACAUGAGUUUCUCCUAGAUUCAGCAGUUUACUAACUACUGAGCAUACAACUCUAACCACCUCCAAUUUACACGGAACCAAAACUCAAGCAAUGAUAUGAGAAUUACCAACGAAUUGCGUAGAAGAAUUGAUAUACAACAUUAUUAAUGGAAGAGCUCAAGAAUUUUUCAUCAAAAAUUAGUAAUCCUAAAUAUUUUUCAUCAAAAAUAAUAAUCUUUGACAUACAGGUGAAGAAUAUGGAAGAGCUCAAGAAUUUGUACAACAUUGUUUGGGCUUUCACAGAUAAGAAGCUUAAAGUGGGAAAUGAUUUGUGACAUUUUGGUAAUGGGACCAUGGAUGUCGAGAAGAUGUGAUAACAGAGAUUCCUUGAAUGAUGUUAAAAGGUAUGAGAAAGUUGGCGAUGAAAUGAAAAUGCUGGAUUUGAUGAAUCCUAAUGGGUUCUUUGUGGAAGAUGGCGGGAUUUGGGUGAGACGUGUAGUGGUUGUUCUAAAAGACUUAAGUUACCCACUUUCCUCAAGUUUGCCUUAUGCAUUGCAUUGUUGAACACUUGCAUGAAAAGCGUAUUAUUUUGUCAGUGUAAAUAUGGAAUGCUGCAUUAUGUAUGCUGAAACAUGCAUGAGUUUUUGUACCUUAAACAACUAACGAACUGUGGAAUGAACCAAUACAAUAAGUCAUGGCAUGAACUAAAUUGCCGUGUACAUCACAGAGUUACAUUGCAAUGUGGAUAGUCGAAUCUACCGUUGAACAAUAAUCUGAAAAUUGGAACUACAUUACGUUAGAUGCAUAAUUAGUUACUAGGUCUUCUGUAUACUGAUUUUCGCUAUUUCCGUCCAUUUUCAGGUUGUUAAAUGGUUUUUUGUUUCCCAUUAGCUUAAUUUAUGGGUUUGCCUGAAUAAAUCCCAUUAGCUCAAACAUGUGAGGUGUUACCAAGUAUGAUAUUUUUGAAUGAGUAGAUAGUUGAAGUCAUCAGAGUCCAAUACUUCAAAAACAGUCUAAAGAGUUCCUUACGAACUUUAAAAGUUGAGAUCCAAUGGGAGUAAGUUAAGAGGCGCACAUUGCAGCCGAGAAAUGCAUCUGAAGUUUACCUAGGUAAAUACUAUUGAAGAAGCUUCAAGUUAAGAGGAUGGCAUCAUAUUUGGGGUUUAGUAAAAUAUAUGACUCAGGAAAGAUGUAGGCACAUUAACAAACAUGGGUUAAAAGGUUUUCAAGCUCAUGACCGAGUGGCUUCUGAUUGUCAACGAAACCUUUUACUCUUGGAAGAAUAAAAUCAAGGUUCAGUUUGGCUUUAACUAUCUUGAAAAUUGAUCAUCUAUAUGUGGCUAGCAACUAUUGGUCUGGGAAGCAAGAGAGAUAUUCAACUUGAUGUUUUUAAGAGGUGGGAUGCCAUGCAGAUUUCAUUGCUGUUCACUUUCCACAGUAACUCCUUUUAGACAAUCCUCAAGUAUAUAGAUCAUUCAACAUAUAGAGUAUGUCCUAAAUUUUUAAAAACUAACAAACAACUAAUAUGCAAAGAAAAAGAAAAAGGUAGACAAUUUUCUUUUCCAAGUUCAACAAACAAGGUACUCUAUAUGAUGGACAUUUUUAUUUUUGAGGGCAGUUUUUUCUCCUAUUAGAUUUGGCUUUCAGAGAACAAUACAGGUUGCACGUGAUUAGAACACGCAUGUCUUACCCAUUGAGUGAAAAAUGUUUCAUUGCGAAUAUUGUGGUAUUCGAGUUGAGGUUGAUAUGUCUUGCUUCCGGACCAUCUUCCCUCUUUUUCUACAACAAAACCAUGUCAACAAAAUUAAUAAUGGUUAAAUUCGUCUUCUUUAUCACAUUGUCGUGUAUGCAGGUUCCAUAUUUUAAAAGCAAGUAUAGAUCGUUUUUAUGCAUGGCUGCCCACACCAAACUUUUUGCUGAGCUCAGCCAGCCUAUAUCUUGGUGUUAAUAUCCUAGAAGUAGAAGCUACUGGAGCAACAGGUCUAUCGAACUAUCCUUUUUUACAAGUGCUAUGGUAAAAGCCUUAUCAGUCUCAAUUCAAUCGUGGCCCAAACAAUAUGAGCUGAUGGAUAUCGAUGACUCGGUGAUAGUAGUAAUCGAUGAAGAUACACAAACCGCGGAUAAUGAUGGAAAUCAAAUUGUUACUCUAGCCAUUUGUAAGUCACUACCUUCGCGCAAUGGAUAUUACAUAUGUUCAUAUUGUGGAGCACUGGAUUGGAUUGAUGGAAGACUGGCUAAUUCAC